rnacentral:rRNA from 1 species
CACUCCUGCGGGAGGCAGCAGUGGGGAAUAUUGGACAAUGGGCGCAAGCCUGAUCCAGCCAUGCCGCGUGAGUGAUGAAGGCCCUAGGGUUGUAAAGCUCUUUCACCGGUGAAGAUAAUGACGGUAACCGGAGAAGAAGCCCCGGCUAACUUCGUGCCAGCAGCCGCGGUAAUACGAAGGGGGCUAGCGUUGUUCGGAUUUACUGGGCGUAAAGCGCACGUAGGCGGACUAUUAAGUCAGGGGUGAAAUCCCGGGGCUCAACCCCGGAACUGCCUUUGAUACUGGUAGUCUUGAGUUCGAGAAAGGUGAGUGGAAUUCCGAGUGUAGAGGUGAAAUUCGUAGAUAUUCGGAGGAACACCAGUGGCGAAGGCGGCUCACUGGCUCGAUACUGACGCUUAGGUGCGAAAGCGUGGGGAGCAAACAGGAUUAGAUACCCUGGUAGUCCCA